UGGACAGAUUAUUAUAUUCGACUGUAUUCACGGCGUGAAACAUGGGAUUACACUGUUUUUAAAACGGAAAGUGAAUCAAUUAACAUAAUAGACUCCU
rnacentral:pre_miRNA from 1 species